rnacentral:rRNA from 1 species
UACGUAGGCAGCGAGCGUUGUUCGGAGUUACUGGGCGUAAAGGGUGUGUAGGCGGUUGUUUAAGUUUGGUGUGAAAUCUCCCGGCUCAACUGGGAGGGUGCGCCGAAUACUGAGCGACUAGAGUGCGGGGAGAGGAAAGUGGAAUUCCUGGUGUAGCGGUGAAAUGCGUAGAUAUCAGGAGGAACACCGGUGGUGUAGACGGCUUUCUGGACCGUAACUGACGCUGAGACACGAAAGCGUGGGUAGCAAACAGG